AUUGAACGCUGGCGGCAGGCCUAACACAUGCAAGUCGAACGAGUGGCGGACGGGUGAGUAAUGUCUGGGAAACUGCCUGCUGGGGGGGGAUAACUACUGGAAACGGUAGCUAAUACCGCAUACCAUCGGAUGUGCCCAGGUGGGAUUAGCUAGUAGGUGGGGUAACGGCGCACCAAGGCGACGAUCCGUAGCUGGUCUGAGAGGAUGACCAGCCACACUGGAACUGAGACACGGUCCAGACUCCUACGGGAGGCAGCAGUGGGGAAUAUUGCACAAUGGGCGCAAGCCUGAUGCAGCCAUGCCGCGUGUGUGAAGAAGGCCUUCGGUUUGUAAAGCACUUUCAGCGGGGAGGCGUUACCCGCAGAAGAAGCACCGGCUAACUCCGUGCCAGCAGCCGCGGUAAUAC
rnacentral:rRNA from 1 species